rnacentral:rRNA from 1 species
UACAGAGGUCUCAAGCGUUGUUCGGAAUUACUGGGCGUAAAGAGUGUGUAGGCGGUGUGUCGCGUCGGCCGUGAAAACCUGCAGCUUAACUGUGGGCGUGCGGUCGAUACGGGCAUCACUGGAGUUCGGCAGGGGAGACUGGAAUUCCUGGUGUAGCGGUGAAAUGCGCAGAUAUCAGGAGGAACACCGGUGGCGAAGGCGGGUCUCUGGGCCGAUACUGACGCUGAGGAGCGAAAGCGUGGGGAGCAAACAGG